rnacentral:rRNA from 1 species
UACGUAGGGGGCAAGCGUUGUCCGGAAUCAUUGGGCGUAAAGCGCGUGUAGGCGGCUCGGUAAGUCUGCUCUGAAAGCCCGGGGCUCAACCCUGGGAGGCGGGUGGAUACUGCUGAGCUCGAGUCCGGAAGAGGCGAGUGGAAUUCCUGGUGUAGCGGUGAAAUGCGCAGAUAUCAGGAGGAACACCAAUGGCGAAGGCAGCUCGCU